AGCGAACGCUGGCGGCAGGCCUAACACAUGCAAGUCGAACGGACCCUUCGGGGUUAGUGGCGGACGGGUGAGUAACACGUGGGAACGUGCCUUUAGGUUCGGAAUAGCUCCUGGAAACGGGUGGUAAUGCCGAAUGUGCCCUUCGGGGGAAAGAUUUAUUGCCUUUAGAGCGGCCCGCGUCUGAUUAGCUAGUUGGUGAGGUAAUGGCUCACCAAGGCGACGAUCAGUAGCUGGUCUGAGAGGAUGACCAGCCACAUUGGGACUGAGACACGGCCCAAACUCCUACGGGAGGCAGCAGUGGGGAAUCUUGCGCAAUGGGCGAAAGCCUGACGCAGCCAUGCCGCGUGGAUGAUGAAGGUCUUAGGAUUGUAAAAUCCUUUCACCGGUGAAGAUAAUGACUGUAGCCGGAGAAGAAGCCCCGGCUAACUCUGUGCCAGCCGCCGCAGUAAGAC
rnacentral:rRNA from 1 species